UACAGAGGAUCUCAAGCGUUGUUCGGAUUCAUUGGGGCGUAAAGGGUGCGUAGGCGGCGCGGUAAGUCGGGUGUGAAAUCUCGGGGCUUAACUCGGAAAGGUCAACUGAUACUGUGCGACUAGAGUGCGGAAGGGGCAACUGGAAUUCUCGGUGUAGCGGUGAAAUUGCGUAGAUAUCGAGAGGAACACCUGCGGCGAAGGCGGGUUGCUGGGCCGACACUGACGCUGAUGCGCGAAAGCCAGGGGAGCGAACGGG
rnacentral:rRNA from 1 species